rfam:Prevotella sp. CAG:1124 genomic scaffold, scf246
GGGGGUAUGCUUAGAGCCCCCAGAACGGAGUGUUAAUAGUUGCGCUUUUGGCCGAGCGUAGCGGUUAGUGAAUC